GGAUGUGAGGGCGAUCUGGCUGCGACAUCUGUCACCCCAGUGAUCGCCAGGGUUGAUUCGGCUGACCUGGCUGGCUGGGCGGGUGUCCCCUCCUCCCUCAAGGCUCCCCGUGCGUCCCUCCCAGAGCAGCGCGCGCGGUCAGAGAGGACGACCACUCCCAUGGAGGAGGACCGUUCUUCUCGGUCAAGGGUGUGCAAGUAGCUGCGCUCCCUGCUGGGCCCUCCAGACAAGCUCUCGAGAAUCCCCAUUCAUGAGGCCUGGAUUUGGGUAAAACAGAGUGUUCUGGGGAAGAGAAGGAGUCAGGCUUAUGAAGGCACAAGCCGCAGGGCUGCUGAAGUUGCCCGGCG
rnacentral:snRNA from 1 species